rnacentral:rRNA from 1 species
AUGCUCCACCUCCGGCAGCGCGUCCUCUCCCAUCUCCUCUCCGGCCCGCCCAUUCCUUCCACCUCCCCGCUCUGUGUCCAGCGCCUCCCCUCCACCGCCGCCGUGCCCGCCGUUUCCCCCAACCCUAGCUUCGCCGUGGAGGAGUACCUCGUCUCCACCUGCGGCCUCACCCGUGCCCAGGCACUCAAGGCCUCCGCCAGGCUCUCCCACCUCAAGUCCCCCGCCAAGCCCGACGCCGUCCUCGCCGGCCUCGGCCUCUCCGCCGCCGACGUCGCCACCCUCGUCGCCAAGGACCUGCGGUUCCUCUGCGCCGGCGUGGAGAGAACCCUGGCCCCAAUCGUCGACGGGCUCACCGGCCUCGGACUGUCGCGUUCUGAAAUCGCGCGACUCGUCUCCCUCGCCCCGUGCAAAUUCAGCCAUAGAUCCGUCGUCUCCAAGGUAGAGUACUACCUGCCGCUCUUCGGCUCCAUCGACAACUUGCUCCGGCCCCUCAAACACGGCUCCGGCUUCCUCGGCUCCCACCUCGAGAGGGUGGUCAAGCCAAAUGUCAAGCUCCUAGCAGAGUGCAGGCUAGGUGCUUGUGAUAUUGCCAAGCUCUUCAUCCAUGAGCCAAGGAUGCUUAGCGCCAAACCAGGGCGUGUCCUGGCGUUGGUCGCGUGCGCGGAACGUAUAGGUGUGCCCCGUGGCUCUGGAAUGUUCAGGCAAGCGCUGCAGGCCGUCUCAUACUUGAGCGAGGACAAGGUCACUGCCAAAGUGGACUACUUGAAGAAGACAUUUAGGUGGUCAGAUACAGAGGUCCGCAUUGCUGUGUCCAAGUGCCCGGUGGUGCUGAGGUGCUCAAAGGACACGCUGCAGCGCAAGUCCGAGUUCCUCAUCUCUAAGGUGGGCUUGGAACCGGCGCGCAUUGCUCAUCGCCCCGUUAUGCUCACUUUCAGCCUGGAGGGCCGGCUCAGGCCACGGUACUAUGUUAUGAGGUUUCUUAAGGAAAAUGGAUUGCUAAGUCAUGGCAGAGACUACCAUACUAUGGUCUCGAUCAGCGAGAAGUUAUUUGUGGAGAAGUUCAUAUGCCCUCACAAUCAAGCUGCACCACACCUUGCUGAGGACUAUGCAGCCGCUUGCGUAGGGGAGGUGCCCGUGUUCUUUUCAUGA